CGCCUAGCCUGGGCGGGUGGCUGGGUGCGUGUUCUGCGGGAUCGUGGCGGGUGAGGUGCCGGCGUUCCGGGUCGCCGACGAGGCGG
rnacentral:tRNA from 1 species